GCGGGACGGGGCCGCCCCGCGAGGGACGGCGCCGCCCCGGGGCUCGUGAUAUCUCAUCUCGCCGCCCGUCGCGAGGCGGACGGAGGGAUGGAUGAGGUUACCUGGAAAAAAUCGGGGCGAUCUAGGCGGGCGAACCUCGCCAACGAACGAUCGGACAUGGGAUAACGGAAGAGGGCGUCGGCUCGACUUCGUCGGUUCCUCGGGCCGAGGCACGUACGGUGAAUAGGGACGGUCGGGGCCGCCCGUACCGGGUCGUGAGAGGUGAAAUUCUAGGAUCGACCCGAGACGAACCGCCGCGAAAGCAUUCGGCAAGGACGCUUUCAUUAAUCAAGAACGAAAGUCGGGGGAUCGAAGACGAUCAGAUACCGUCGUAGUCCCGACCGUAAACGAUGCCGACCGAGGGCCCGGAGGAGUUACGUACGACCCUCCGGGCCCUCCCGCGAGAAAUCAGGAGUAUUCGGGUUCC
rnacentral:rRNA from 1 species